AGGGGUUGAGGACGGUGAUGUACCUCAGUUGUUGGGGGCCAAAUUAAGAGUACUGGUAGCUCGGGCUUAGGGGUACGGUGCUUGUGUUCGUUGCAGCAAGAGUAAGCUAGCACGCAUACAUGACCGGAACCUGGCUAGUUGUCCCCUCAUCGAUUGUAAAGAUACCACGACUAUGGUGAUGAAAAUUUUGGCUACAAGUUUGUAUCAUACCCUUUGUUCAUGUUCUUGUUUGGAAGGCGAAAGGCCAAUGUUUGCCUUGAGAGGAAGAAGGUUCAGAGUUGCUCGGGGAGAGAAUGAACGACGACUUUAACACGACUUCCUUUCAAGCAAUUAAGUACAUCAAUGAUAUCGUAAUGAUUACUUUUCCCAUAAAGAACUGUGCUCCAGAUAUCUGUGCUGAGAUAUUUGAUAAGGCAUGAUGUCAAAAAAGAGAUAUUUGGUAGGAACAUAUAUUAUAGAACUCUUAUCAAUAUAUUUGAGGACACUACUAAAUGAAACACAUAACACAACUAUACAUCUAAAUGGCGUAAAAAAUAAUCUAUAUAUAAAUGUUAUUUUUAUUUUCUUGCAUAUAGAUGAAAUUUAAAUUAACGAAAUAUCAUGAGUAAAUUUUAAAAAUAACAUAAGGUUACAUAAUACUAAUUUAGUUUACAGUUGUAAUAAUUUUUGUGGGAAUAUUUUCAAAUGUAAAAUAAUCUAUUUUAAGUUAGUAUUAAUGGUUUAAUUUUUAAAAUUGUUUUUUGUAAAAACUAUAUCAAUCAAAUAAAUAAUCUAUUUAUAAUGAAUAUUAUAUAUAUAAUUUAAAAGUAUUUAAUAUAAAUGGACGACGGCAAUACUGACACCAAAGUACUUCUGUUUUUAUUAUUAAGAUACUUCAAACUUCCAACUUCUAUCUAAUAUUAGGUUUUAUUAAAUAGUUUCACUUGACUUACUUUUAUUGUAUAAUAAUAAUAUAGUUUCAGAGUGUUCUGGGAAUAAUAUGUAAGUGCUAGGGUUAUUUGUAAAAUUUUAGUAACAAUUUUAAUAAAAAUGUAUAAAGAAUAUAAAAAUACUAAAUUAUUAUACUUAAUUUCAGUGAUUAAAAUUACUCACGGACCCUAAUAUAAUCUUGAAAUUCAAAGAAUCGUUAACCUAACCCUAAUCAAAUUGAGUUAAUAAACCGAAAGAUAGAGGGGGGAGAGACAGAUAGGGUGGGAGGGAGAAUGAGAGACAGAGAAGGGGGAGGGAGGGAGAAGGAGAGACAGGGGAGGGGGGGAGGGAGAGGGAGAGAGUGAAGUAGAGAGGGAGAGAGAGACGAACUUAUUUAGGAGGUGCUCGGGGGUGUGUGUGCGGCGGCGACAUCAAGCGGAGUCCGGUCGGGCGGCGUUGGGUGGGGGCGGCACAGGCGGUGUGGAAGAUCUAGCGGGGGAAUGGGUCGGCGUGGGGGAUCGAGGUAAGGGUGAGACAGUUGAAACGGAUAAGAUUGUUCUUUGGUGGGUCGGUUACAACAAACUACUGUUAGCGUCGGACAUUACCUAUGACAUUAGACAAAAUUGCAACUUCAGCAUUAAGUCAACAGCUAUGACAUGCGAAAAUGGGCUACAUGCCAGCGCUAUUUGAAAAAUAUAGUAUUGAUGUCGCUACAAAAUGACGUGUCACCAACAUAAGUUGUGGCUAACCAUUUAUCCACUAAUGCAACUAUAAUAAUGAUUACUUAAAAUAUAAAUUAUAAGCAUAUUUUGUUUUAGUUACCUUAAGUAAUGACAUUGUUGUUUUUUAUCCAUAUGCAUUUUAUUCGUUUGCUAACAAAAUGUUUUUUUGGACUGGCUGAAGAGAGCACAAUAACCAAUUUAAUUUCUCACAAGUUCGUUUAAUUAGCAGGUUUCUAUGCUAAAAAAUUAAAAUACCAUUUUUCCAUUGAAGGAUUUUAAAAAAAAAACAACUUUGACAUCUAAAGUUUAACUGGAUUUUGAAAAGAUAUAUAUGUUAUAUAAAAUUUAAAAUUCAACAUAGUAUGUCAGAAUUGUUCUGAAUCAUAAAUAUAUUUAUUGUAUCUCAUAAAAAAUUACGCAGUUAUUAAAAUAGUUCACGUAGAACACUUAUGUUAUUUGCUUAUAUAUUUCAACGGAAUUCUUCUUCUAGUUCAUGAAACAUGUCAAUGUUGCUCACAAGACUUGUUAUGAUGUUUAUUGAGAAAAUACGUGUGUUGAUUGACCCAAAAAUUGUUCAUGGAUCUUAAAAUUUUGUUUGUUACUGCACAAGAAAAAUCUUUUACCUCAUAAAUCUAAUAACACAAUGAACACAUUUUAUGUUACAUAUAUUUAACAAAUAAUGAAUGUUCAUAGGGAUAUAUUUAAAGAAAAAACAAUGGGUGUUUGUACUAAGCAAUUGUUUUGUUGUACAAAAGAAUUGCAUACUACAAAGUGAAAACGUCGUUUCCUCUUUCCAUAGGUAUGGUGAAAAAUAAGGAAAAUAUAUAUGAAAUGAAAAAAGGUAAGACAGACUAAAAAGAAGUGAUAAAUCAUGGGGAAAGAAGAAUGGCAAAGAAUAGAAAACCCAAUAAAACGGAAAUAUCAACGUCAAGACAUGUAGAUGAUAUACCAUGUAACAUGUCGAGGAUGCACCGAUACCUCUUUUCUUCAAUCACUCCCUGGGCCUCGUGGACAUCCACUACUCAUCGCAACUAUCUUGUACCCCACCUUCUACCCAUGGUUGGCAACUAGCUAGUUACAAGGACAUCGAUCCCUUCAGUGCCAAUGAGCUAUGUGUUAGUUUGUUCUUUUGUCGAUUCAGCCUAGUUUAUCUUUAUGCUAACCUAAGUGAUGAGGUCAUGUUGUUCCGAGAGUAUAUAGGUUCCAGCAAUUGCUACUGCAGAAUUUCAAAGAAGGGCAAUGAAAAAAGAGUGGCAUGUGAUAUUUCAAAUAACAGCAAUCGACAAAGAAUGGUGGCAUCAAAUCUUGCUCAAAAUGAGCACCAAAUACCCCAUAAAUUACAACACAAAAUGUACAUUUACAUAUUUUAGUACUAGAUAGUUGAAGCAUAUCUCUCGCUUGCUAUAACUCUUCUUUGCAACGCACCAAGAUAUACAUAAUACAUGUAUAAUUCUUCUUUGAAAAUUUCAAAACAUAGACUUGUUUCUCAGAUGGGAGUAGGGAUGGCAAUGGGUACCCAUUACCCAUGUAUCCUGCGGGUAAAAACCCUAUUAGGGUAAGGGUAUGGGACAAAAAAUUACCCAUGGGGUAUGUAAAUAGGAAAAUCUGAAACCCAUCGGGUAGAGCGGGUACGGGUAUGGAUCAUAUAGCCCAUACCCACAUACCCAUGUACCCAUAUGAAAUCUUUGUAAAAUCAAUAUUAUAUCUACAAUCUACACUAUGUCAAGACUUUGUGAAAUGAAAAUGUAUGACUAUGUGUUGUUGUUUAUGACUAUAUGAUGUUGUUUAUAAGUAUAUGUUGUUGUUACAAUCCAUUUGUGUAAACUAUGAUUAUAUGUUUUUGUUUAUGAUUAUAUAUUGUUCAACUUGUUGAUUUGCAAACAUGGGUAAUUUUAACCGCGGUUAUCCGUCUACCCUAUCGGGUAAAGGGUACGGAAAAAAAUUGUAUUCGUUGACGGAUAUGGGUAAGGGUGAUGGGUAAGCUCAGGGGGGACGGGUAAUGGUAUCGGGUGGCUCCACCCAUACCCAUACCCCGUGGGUGCCAUCCGUAGAUGGGAGAGCCUUGCACUCGUGUGCACUUCAGUUAAGAACAACCUUAAGAAACAAUGUGAAUGGAACAAAAUACACUACAAGUGACCAAUAUAUGCAAUAACCAACUAAGCUAUUCUUGCAUCAUACUUAACAUCUGAUGCAUUAGUUACACAACGUAUAAGAGAAAAAGCAAGAAUAUAAAGAAAAAUGACAAUACAAAUUAAUUUUGACACGUUUAAUGGAUAUUAACUUGAAUACGCAUGAAUUACGACGGCCUGCCAUGGUUACGGUUGUAUAGUGAUUAUGGGCUACAUCCAUCGACCGAGUUCUCUUGGUGCAGAGCUUUAGCAAGAUGACUCCAUGUUGUACCUCCAUCCCAAAUUUGGUGACCACCGCGCACCGUACCUCGCAGAAGAACCUUGAUCUUGAUAUCUUCAACCCAUUUUCAUAAUCUACUUCUCCCGACGCACGACUCGACCUUGGAGAACUUCUUCUUGGGAAGAGAGAGUGGUAGAAAGAGAAGAUGGUGGAAUGAGUUAAAAACAACAUGAGAGGUCAGUCUGCUUGUGCGACAAGUAAGCAGUGUGGUAACAUUGUACGUGCGUUCAAGGUGUCGAUUAUCAUGUCAAAACAAUUCAAAUGGUUGAUUUGGGUGUGGUGUGAAAAAAUAGGACAUUACUUGUGGUUCAUGGGAAGAAUUUCAAAACAUGUGGGCUAUGGUUGUGUAUGAUAUUAGCCACAAUUAAAUUAAUAGUAUUUUAUUUCUUAUUUUUAUAUGUGAAAAAUAGCUACUUUUUUCUUAUAAUACUAACGUUUUGCAAGGUCACCUUGAGUAGAACAUACACCACACUCACCUUCUUUUUACGGUAACUGUCAUUUCUAAGUCACCCGAGAAACAAUUAUCACUAAUUCGACCAAACCAUAUGUUACUUAUGAGACAUACAACUACUUGCUUUACAUAGAAUAAAAAUUACUGGCACUUUUGUACUGUGAAUGAAAAAAAAAUGCACUUAUAAAUAAGAUUUUCCAAGUCUGCUUUUAAACAGACACUCAUAGUUUUUGCAGUUUCUAAGAACUUUAGGAUGCCUAGAAAUCGACAUGAGAGCAAGGUACAGAUUUAGCCAUCUACAUAAUGCACCAAAAAAGAAAAGAAAAAUCAAACAGCCGAACUAUGUUUGAAAAAUCAUUAAAAUUUGCACGUACUCAAAGAACGAAAAUUUUAGAGAAGUUGUUGAUCUUAUUUCCUUGAUCUGACAAAAAUUAUAGAGAGAAGAGAUGGACUUGCACGCUGAAAAAGAAAAUCUCUACUAUUCAAGGACUCUGUAUCUGCCAGUGGACAAAACCAGCCGCUCUCCCGCAGAAAAAAUAAGAUGGGGCGAGGUGGGCAGCCACCUGCACCGGCUGGGCGUCAGACAGCGAGAGGUGCGGGCCAAGCAAGCAAAAAUGGAUCCGAAAGCACCUGUGGUAUCCUGGAAAACCAGCGCCCACAGCCGCCUGUUUUGCUCCGGCUCUCCCGUAUAUAACUGCAUCCCACUUCCAAUCUUCCCACCGUCAACACAAACCAGCAUUAGUUCAGUGAGACACUUCAAGAAAAUCAGCUCUGUUCAACUUCGCAAGUCCACUACUACUUACUACACACAAGGAGCACGAGUCGGUUUCCACUCUCCAGCACGCAGCAAGAAUAAGAAGUACUAUAGGAGAAGCGAUGGCUGGUCCGGCGAAGGCAUCGUGGAUGGUGGCGAUGAGCGUGGGCGCGGUGGAGGCGCUCAAGGACCAGGCCGGGCUCUGCCGCUGGAACUACGCCCUCAGGUCCAUUCACCGGGCAGCCAAGGCGAACGUCCGCGGCGGCGUCGUGCAUGGCCCGAAGCAGCUUCCAGCCUCCCCGGCUGAGAGGCGGCGAGCGGAGACGGACGAGGAGGGGCUGAGGACGGUCAUGUACCUUAGCUGCUGGGGACCUAAUUAGGAGUACUAGUAGUACCUAAUAGGGAUGUUGUGUUCGUUGCAGCAAGUAACUUAGCAUUAGUAAAGCAUGCAACCAUGGCGUUAGACUUGGUUGGUUGCCCCUGAUCGGUUGUAAAGACACCACGACAACGAUGAUGAUGAAAACUUCGGCUAUCAGUUUAUAAUUUAUAUUACCCUGCUUGUCCAGCCAUUUGCUUCAGUGGCUUUUUUGAAAGGUCAAAGUCCGAUCCGUAUCAAGAGAGGGAGAAAGUUCAGAAUUACACAGGGAGAUCAACUCAGCAAAGCGAGCCGUUCUGCUGAAAACAGAGCAGCUUCAGCUGCCUGUACAAAACAGCCAAACUCUGAACCAAGGAAACAACAGUGAAAAACAGAAAAGGAGUUCGAUCUCAGGUCUUGUCUGAUCAAUUUGAACACCUCAAGGUCCCUGCAAUGGAGCCCGUUAGAGAUUGUGACGUUGUGUUCCUUCCAACAAUUUUUCUUCUGAUUAUUUUGAGGUUGUAUGCUCUGCAUCGGUUUCUGUUGCUCCGAGUUGACUGCCGAUCCAUGUCAUACUGAAGGCGUAAGUGAGACGGCGAGGGUGAACCCAGGAGGUCAUCAAGCCUUAACCCAACGAUCUCUGAUUUCUUACAUGGUAUCGGAGCCUUCUCUUCUACAUCGCAUCUAGAUGUCUCUCGUCCCCUUCAACAGUUCCUCGGGAGCUUCUUCCUCGAUCAGCCAGCCCAUGGCGACGCUCGGUGACACCUCCCGCGAAAAGCUCAGCCGUGACAACUUUCUUCUGUGGAAGACGACGGUCCUACCCCCAAUCCGAGGGGCACAGCUCGAUGGAUAUCUCGAUGGCUCAAUUGAAGCUCCGGCCAAGACACUUGAUGUACAGAAGGCCGACAAAUCCGGCACCGAGACGGUGCCAAACCCCGAGUACGCUCGCUGGAUAGCCCAAGACCAACAAGUUCUUGGAUCGCUGCUGCUGACCUCUCUCUCGUGCGAAGUUCUAACUCAAGUCGUCUCCAUGAAGACGUCUGCGCAGGUCUGGAGUCUGGACACCUCUUGAGGAGAUGUAUUCCUCCAUCUCUCGGUCACGAGUUAUUCAACUUCGGACCAGUUCGCCGGCACUCGGAAGAACGAUAUGACCGCCACCGCAUACUUCACGAAGAUGCGAGGUAUUGCGGACGAACUCACAGCAGCAGGGAAGAAGAUAGAAGACGACGAUCUCAUCUCUCAAAUCCUUGCUGGAUUGGAUGCAGAAUAUAAUCCCUUUAUCUCAUCCAUUGGUGCCAGAACCGAUGCCUACUCCUUGAGCGAAAUUUAUGCUGAGUUUGUUACCUUUGAAGCGCGCCUGGAGUCACAAAAUUCUGGGUCACAGCAGUAUAACUCGUCAGUGAAUCUUGCUGCACGAGGAGGACAUGGCAAAGGAAAUCGUGGAGGAAGAAGCAGUGGUGGAGGGAACCGUGGUGGCUUCGGCAACAACAAUCGCGGAGGGUACAACAAAUAUGGGAACAACUACAACCACGAGAAUAACAAUUACCACAAUAAUAAUCGCGGCGGAGGACGCUCAGGUCCAGGAGGUGGAGCGAAUCUUUCCCGCAGUGACAAGCCUACUUGUCAGAUUUGUGGUAAGGUUGGGCAUCCAGCUCACAAGUGGUGGUAUCGGUUUGACCCCAAUUAUGUCACGGAAGAGAGAUAUGGUGGAGCAGCCACUACUUCAUCUGGAGUUGACUCCAAUUAGUACUUUGAUACUGGAGCAAUUAAUCAUAUUAAGAGCAUCUCUAGUAGAGCCCUCAAACCGUUUUUUUACAGUUUUCGUCGAAAAAACGGCGUAGACUAGAACCCUUAAACCCGUAAAAAAAAUUAGAGGUCCAACCCAGUUGAACACAAACGAGCAUCAGUUCAGUGAGACACUUCAAGAAAAUCAGCUCUGUUCAACUUCGCAAGUCCACUACUACUUACUACACACAAGGAGCACGAGUCGGUUUCCACUCUCCAGCAGCGCAGCAAGAAUAAGAAGUAUAGGAGAAGCAAUGGCUGGUCCGGCGAAGGCGUCCUGGAUGGUGGCGAUGAGCUCCGGCGCAGUGGUGGCGCUCAAGGACCAGGCCGGGCUCUGCCGUUGGAACUACGCCCUGAGGUCCAUCCACCGGGAAGCCAAGGACAACGUCCGCAGCAGCGUCUUGCAUGGCACCAAGCAGCUUCCGGCCUCCCCGGCUGGGAGGCGGCGAGCGGAGAUGGCCGAGGAGGGGCUGAGGAUGGUCAUGUACCUUAGCUGCUGGGGACCUAAUUAGGAGUACUAGUAGUAUCUAAUAGGGCUGAUGUGUUCGUUGCAGCAAGUAACUUAGUAUUAGUAAAGCUUGCAGCAAUGGCGUUAGACUUGAUCGGUUGUAAAGACACCACGACAACAAUGAUGAUGAAAACUUCGGCUAUCAGUUUAUAAUUUAUAUUACCCUACUUGUCCAGCCAUUUGCUUCAGUGGCUUUUUUCGAAAGGUCAAAUGGCGAUCUGUAUCAAGAGAGGGA
rnacentral:lncRNA from 1 species